rnacentral:rRNA from 1 species
AUGUUCCUCGCGUUGUCUUUCAGCACUAGCACACUAACCCUUGUUACGAAUAGUGAUGAGGAGCUGUCUGCUGUUCUCUUAAGCUCUUUGCUGGGUGAAAAGAGAAUGGUGUUGGGACGUUUGGUGGAGCUGAGUGGCAAAGAAGAAUCGGGGCCAAACAAUCCAUAUCCAGCGAAAGGGUUGAAGAAAGAGGAACAAACAGAGGGUCACGUUGCUUGA